UGGAACCUCCCCCCCAACCCCAGAUGCAGGCCAGACUGAAGCCCUGAGGCCUGCCUGUGGACAGCAGGAGAGACCAGAGAACACAGAAGAAGGGUCAGAGAGAUCCAAACCGCCAAGGGCCAAGCCUGAACCUGGGAGGGAGACCAACAGACUUCCAGGUGGCCAUGGAGGUGCCUGGAAAGAGGGGCUAAAAGCAGUUGGUGACUGUUUAGUGCAUCUGGGGACUGGUCUUACGCUGCAUCCCCACAUGUCCCAGAGGCCCCAGUCUGGACCCCAGAGCACCCAGCCAGGUUUCCUUCCAGGAGCUCCCAGUAAUACUCAAAAUGAGACCGAAGUCUCUCCACCAAUUACUUACAGGCCCCAGGUCAGAAUCCAAGACUCUCAGCCCAUUAUCAACAGUGGCCGGGUCAGCAUCCAAGAGCCCCCGCCCAUUAUCCAUAAUCGCCGGGUCAGCAUCCAAGAGCCCCCGCUCAUUAUCCAUAAUCGCCGGGCCAGCAUCCAAGGGCCCCCACCCAUUAUCAACAGUCACCGGGUCAGCAUCCAAGAACCCUUGUCCAUUAUCCACAAUCGCCGGGUCAGCAUCCAAGACCCUCCACUAGUCCACAGUCGCUGGGCCAGUAUCCAAGAUGCGCCACCCAUUAUCAACAGUUGCUGGGUCAGUACUGAGGACACGCCAUCCACUGUGAGCGGUCAUCGGUUCAGCAUCCAAGAUACACCGUCAGUUACCUACAGUCACCGUUUGAAGACCCAAGAUGUUCCACCAAUUCUCCAAACUCGCCACUUCAGCAUCCAAAGCUCUCUAUUACUUCCUCACGUCUCCCUGAACAAUGUAGAGUCCCUUAACUACAAUAGUAGUCAAGUCCGUAGCCAAGACCACCUUCCAACAAGUCAGAGUCCUUGUUUGAGUACUCAAUGCCUCACAUUGCCAAUCCGGGCCAAAGUCGAUGUCCCCCCUUCAAUUACUCACAGCCCCACGGCCAGUGUCAAAAGCACUGAUUCAAUCAUCUGGACCACCCAGGAGAGUUUCAAAGACUCUAUGGACAGCUCCCUAUACAACCCAAGUGCUCUAGACAACAAUAUCCAGAGCAUACGAUCAAGCAGAUCUGCUGAGAUGGAUUCUGGCGGGUGUCAGAGAAGGAGUAAAUGCAGCUAUUCACAGCUGCCCAUGGGCUGGCGGCUGCUGCAUGGAGCCAAGAAGAUCAGCCGUCAGGUGAGCCUGGCACUGAGCCUGGCUGGCAUGGUGAUCAUCGGUCUCAUCACCCUGGGCCAGCCCUGGAUCCACUUCCAGGUUCCACUGACACCCCCUGGGGAUCCUGAUGGCCCCUCGACCAUCCCCAUCAACACCAUCUUCUUUGUGCAGUGCCCUGACAUCUCCUGCCUUCACGAGUACGACCAGAAUGCUUAUUUGUUGGACUUUGCCUGGGCCUUUCUCAUCCUCGCCAGUAUUGCCGGCUUCUGCCUCUGCAUCAUGCUCAUAAACAUCAUCUUCUUCACCAGCUCCAACUUACCUGUGCUGGACUUCUCCAACGUCAUCAUCAGCAUCCUGACAGGGGCCAGCAUGAUACUGGGCAUCCUGUUCUACCUGAUGCAGGCCCAUGAGUACCUGCAGGAAGGCAUGACCUACACUCUGGGGCUCAGCUUCUACCUGGCGUGGACCGGCAUCUUUCUCUUCCUGAUGAGUGGUUUCCUUUCCUAUCUGAACUACAUGAACUUCUGGUCCAUCCUGGCGCUCCAGGCCAUCUGGACUUGAUGGCGCUCCAGGACGCAGGAAUGACCCCACCGCUGGCCUGCUCCCACAGCUCCCUGCCAAGCUCUCAAAUUUGUUCCUCUUUAAUGAAAAUAAGCUGCAACUAUAUGCCAGAGACUGGAUCUAUAGCAGUGAUCAAACUAGACACACAUCCUUGUUUUUAUGGCUUCACAUUUCCGCAGGGAGGCAAAACAGAUCUGUUAGGGACUAUAAGCUUCGUGGGAGGUGUCUCCUCACCGGAAGAAGACAACCCAACGUUGUGUUGUCUUCUAAACAAUGUGUGUUCCACUCACAGAAGGGAAUAUUUGGCCCCCGUUUAAGGAAUGAGGUCACUCUGUACUGAUCCGGGGGAGACUAUUUAGGGGACAAACUGGAAUGAAAAAAAAAAAAAAUCGCUACCCAUAACAUGUGUGCGUAUACAGCCAUAAAAUAAAAAGUCCACACCACA